GAAUCAGCUAUAGCUUUUUUAUUUCCUACACUGUGGUUCCUAUAGGAGCAAGAAGCUUUCAGCAAAACCAGACUAGCAUAUACAAAGUCUCAUCCAGCAGAACUGGCCUUGUGAUGGACAGCUCAGCCAACCUGUGCUAUGGCAUGACUGAAGCAACGGAGGGAAUCAUGUCUUUUGGCUAAGCAGUCUUCUACCAGUUCCAUCUGAAGCAGCAGACCUUAAUGCAUCUAGAGAACUUUUAGUGAAGUGUCUAUUUAAUGUUAGGCGAUUUAAACAGUGCUUGACCAAUGGAUUUUGAUCAGAAAUCAGGUUAGCUAAUCUGCCACAAGGCAAUGCAGCAGCUGCCCUACCCUCUGAACCACUACAUCUGGUCUCUUGCCCUCAGAAGAAGUUAACAAAUCACAUUACAGGAUAGAGUGAAAAUCUCCCAUAAUCUAGCCGGCUGGUUCCCUAAUAGAACACAGCAAUAGGAAGAAGGACUCCUACCUCCUAAAUCACAUUGUACACUGUGUCAUCUCACGUCGUAAAACUGUAUUCUUGUAUUUGUUGUUGGUUUACUGUUUCUAAUAGUGCAUACCUAAACUGGGACAUUACCUAAAAUUCAUCUUUCUGAAUUGUCCCCCCACUUCUUAACAAUAGUUCACUAAUAGCAUAGGUAUUCUGAUCUUUAUUUCCCACUUCAUUUCAUCAUUUUCAACCUCUUAUAUGGGCAGUAAGUUUUCCUGAAGAUAUCUUACAAUACAAACAGAAUUCCUCAGUCUGUAGGCUCCACACUUCCAAGAAUUACUCUUCUUGAGAGAGCAUUAACACCUAUCUUGUACAGAUUCAUUUUAGCCAAGAUAAUAUGGCCUGCUUUUCUGCAGUGCUAGUUAUUUGUAGCUCUUCUAUUUCAACUUGAAUUGAAGAUGUGUUUACUAUAUCUAAGCAAGUGGGUGUGAUAUAUAAUAGAUUAAAAAAAAAACCCCACAAGUUAAAGAUCGUAUGCUGUGAUUUGUUCUGGGACAAAUUAGAAAAGAUAUAAAACAUAUGUCCUCAAAUGUUACAUUCUUUUUAAAAGUCACUUUGGAAAUGACUGAAUAGCCUAGGAAUGGAAACUUAACAAUUAUGAUUACGGACAGCAUUUGGCUUCAUAAACUUCACUGUCUUCUGCCUUGUCUGAAAUCCUCUAUGCUUGCUUUAAUCUGAAAAUUGAUUUUAUUACUAAUAAAAUGAAGAAAUG
rnacentral:lncRNA from 1 species